AUUGAACGCUGGCGGCAUGCCUUACACAUGCAAGUCGAACGGUAACAGGUCUUCGGAUGCUGACGAGUGGCGAACGGGUGAGUAAUACAUCGGAACGUGCCUAGUAGUGGGGGAUAACUACUCGAAAGAGUGGCUAAUACCGCAUGAGAUCUACGGAUGAAAGCAGGGGAUCGCAAGACCUUGUGCUACUAGAGCGGCCGAUGGCAGAUUAGGUAGGUGGUGGGAUAAAAGCUUACCAAGCCGACGAUCUGUAGCUGGUCUGAGAGGACGAUCGGCCACACUGGGACUGGGACACGGCCCAGAAUCCUACGGGAGGCAGGAGUGGGGAAUUUUGGGCAAUGGGCGCAAGCCUGAUCCAGCAAUGCCGAGUGCAGGAUGAAGGCCUUCGGGUUGUAAACUGCUUUCGUACGGAACGAAAAGCCCCGGGUUAAUACCCUGGGGUCAUGACGGUACCGUAAGAAUAAGCACCGGCUAUCUACGUGCCAGCCGCCGCGGUAA
rnacentral:rRNA from 1 species